UACAGAGGUCCCAAGCGUUGUUCGGAUUCACUGGGCGUAAAGGGUGCGUAGGCGGUCGGGUAAGUCUGAUGUGAAAUCUCACAGCUUAACUGUGAAACUGCAUUGGAUACUAUCCGGCUCGAGGAAUGGAGGGGAGACUGGAAUACUUGGUGUAGCAGUGAAAUGCGUAGAUAUCAAGUGGAACACCAGUGGCGAAGGCGGCUUCUUGGGCCCUACCUGACGCUGAGGCGCGAAAGCCAGGGGAGCGAACGGG
rnacentral:rRNA from 1 species